CACGUGAGGGCGCGAGCGUUGUCCGGAAUUAUUGGGCGUAAAGAGCUCGUAGGCGGCCUGUUGCGUCCGCUGUGAAAGCCCGGGGCUUAACCCCCGGGUCGGCAGUGGAUACGGGCAGGCUAGAGGUAGGUAGGGGAGAAUGGAAUUCCCGGUGUAGCGGUGAAAUGCGCAGAUAUCGGGAGGAACACCGGUGGCGAAGGCGGUUCUCUGGGCAUGUCCUGACGCUGAGGAGCGAAAGUGUGGGGAGCGAACAGG
rnacentral:rRNA from 1 species